UCCCCGUUGCCGGGGCAGUCUGAAUAGAAAAAUCCAACUAUUCACAAGGGUUGCGCUCGUUAAUGGACUUAACCAAACAUCUCACGACACGAGCUGACGACGGCCAUGCAGCACCUGUCACCGAGUUCCAAAAGGCACACUCUGCUUUCACAGAACUUCUCGGGAUGUCAAGCCCUGGUAAGGUUCUUCGCUUACCAUCGAAUUAAAGAACAUCAUCCGCUACUUGUGCGGGUCCCCGUCAAUUCCUUUAUGUUUUAGCCUUGCGGCCGUACUCCACAGGCGGGAUGCUUAACGCGUUAGCUUCGUUACUAAGGGGGUCGAUACCCCUAACAACUAGCAUCCAUAGUUUACGGCGUGGACUAC
rnacentral:misc_RNA from 1 species